rnacentral:rRNA from 1 species
CCUACGGGCGGCAGCAGUGGGGAAUAUUGGGCAAUGGGCGCAAGCCUGACCCAGCAACGCCGCGUGAAGGAAGAAGGCUUUCGGGUUGUAAACUUCUUUUAAGAGGGAAGAGAAGAAGACGGUACCUCUUGAAUAAGCUCCGGCUAACUACGUGCCAGCAGCCGCGGUAAUACGUAGGGAGCGAGAGUUGUCCGGAUUUACUGGGUGUAAAGGGCGUGCAGCCGGGAGUACAAGUCAGAAGUGAAAUCCCGCGGCUUAACCGCGGAAAUGGCUUUGAAACUGUUAUUCUUGAGUACUGGAGAGGGAGGCGGAAUUCCUAGUGUAGCGGUGAAAUGCGUAGAUAUUAGGAGGAACACCAGUGGCGAAGGCGGUCUGCUGGACAGCAACUGACGGUGAGGCGCGAAAGCGUGGGGAGCAAACAGGAUUAGAUACCCCUGUAGUC